CCUACGGGAGGCAGCAGUGGGGAAUAUUGGGCAAUGGGCGCAAGCCUGACCCAGCAACGCCGCGUGAAGGAAGAAGGCUUUCGGGUUGUUAACUUCUUUUCUCAGGGACGAAGCAAGUGACGGUACCUGAGGAAUAAGCCACGGCUAACUACGUGCCAGCAGCCGCGGUAAUACGUAGGUGGCAAGCGUUAUCCGGAUUUACUGGGUGUAAAGGGCGUGUAGGCGGGAAAGCAAGUCAGAUGGGAAAACCAUGGGCUCAACCUGUGGCCUGCAUUUGAAACUGUUUUUCUUGAGUACUGGAGAGGCAGACGGAAUGCGUGGUGUAGCGGUGAAAUGCGUAGAUAUUAGGAGGAACACCAGUGGCGAAGGCGGUAUGCUGGACAGAAACUGACGCUGAGGCGCGAAAGCGUGGGGAGCAAACAGGAUUAGAUACCCUAGUAGUC
rnacentral:rRNA from 1 species